rnacentral:rRNA from 1 species
AGCGCGAAAGUGGGCUUCGGCCCACGAGUAGAGCGGCGAACGGGUGAGUAACGCGUGGGUGAUCUGCCUUCGAGUGGGGAAUAACACCGGGAAACUGGUGCUAAUACCGCAUAACAUCCUCGGUUCGUUCCGAGGAUCAAAGCUGGGGACCGUAAGGCCUGGCGCUUGAAGAGGAGCCCGCGUCCGAUUAGCUUGUUGGCGGGGUAAUGGCCCACCAAGGCUUCUAUCGGUAGCCGGCCUGAGAGGGCGGACGGCCACACUGGGACUGAGACACGGCCCAGACUCCUACGGGAGGCAGCAGUGGGGAAUUUUCCGCAAUGGGGGAAACCCUGACGGAGCAACGCCGCGUGGAGGAUGUAGGCCCUCGGGUCGUAAACUCCUGUCGAUCGGGAAGAAUGCGUCCGACCUAAUACGUCGGCACGUUGACUGUACCGGUGGAGGAAGCCACGGCUAACUCUGUGCCAGCAGCCGCGGUAAGACAGAGGUGGCAAGCGUUGUUCGGAAUUACUGGGCGUAAAGCGCGCGCAGGCGGUUCGUCAAGUCCCGUGUGAAAUCCCCCGGCUCAACUGGGGAACUGCGCGGGAAACUAGCGGGCUUGAGUUCGGGAGAGGGAAGCGGAAUUCCGGGUGUAGCGGUGAAAUGCGUAGAUAUCCGGAGGAACACCAGUGGCGAAGGCGGCUUCCUGGACCGACACUGACGCUGAGGCGCGUAAGCUAGGGGAGAGAACGGGAUUAGAUACCCCGG